CUCGUAGGCGGUUCGUCGCGUCCGGUGUGAAAGUCCAUCGCUUAACGGUGGAUCCGCGCCGGGUACGGGCGGGCUUGAGUGCGGUAGGGGAGACUGGAAUUCCCGGUGUAACGGUGGAAUGUGUAGAUAUCGGGAAGAACACCAAUGGCGAAGGCAGGCCCCUGGGCCGUCACUGACGCUGAGGAGCGAAAGCGUGGGGAGCGAACA
rnacentral:rRNA from 1 species